rnacentral:rRNA from 2 species
ACUANCUUUUCUCGGAGAAGAAACAAUGACGGUAUCUGAGGAAUAAGCAUCNGCUAACUCUGUGCCAGCCGCCNCGGUAAGACAGAGGAUGCAAGCGUUAUCCGGAAUGAUUGGGCGUAAAGCGUCUGUAGGUGGCUUUUCAAGUCCGCCGUCAAAUCCCAGGGCUCAACCCUGGGCAGGCGGUGGAAACUACCAAGCUGGAGUACGGUAGGGGCAGAGGGAAUUUCCGGUGGAGCGGUGAAAUGCAUUGAGAUCGGAAAGAACACCACGGCGAAAGCACUCUGCUGGGCCGACACUGACANUGNGAGACGAAAGCUAGGGGGAGC